rnacentral:rRNA from 1 species
UGGUCUUGACAUACACGGAACUUUCCAGCUAUGGAUUGGUGCCUUCGGGAACCGUGAUACAGGUGCUGCAUGGCUGUCGUCAGCUCGUGUCGUGAGAUGUUGGGUUAAGUCCCGUAACGAGCGCAACCCUUAUCCUUAUUUGCCAGCACAUCAUGGUGGGAACUAUAAGGAGACUGCCGGUGAUAAACCGGAGGAAGGCGGGGACGACGUCAAGUCAUCAUGGCCCUUACGACCAGGGCUACACACGUGCUACAAUGGGAAGGACAAAGGGUUGCUAAGCCGCGAGGUGGUGCUAAUCUCAUAAACCUUUUCGUAGUCCGGAUCGGAGUCUGCAACUCGACUCCGUGAAGUCGGAAUCGCUAGUAAUCGUAGAUCAGAACGCUACGGUGAAUACGUUCCCGGGUCU